rnacentral:lncRNA from 1 species
GAGGCUUCCAAAAAGUUCUUGUACAAUUCUGCCUAAAUAAUUGCAAUCCAAGUCAACACUCUUCCAUCGUGUGUGGCAGUCAUCAUCCAACCUCCAUUUCAUCCCUGUAAGUGGAGUAUGAAAGUUAAGAAAUAUCAAAUUAGGCAAUCGCAUAAUGCAGAUUCAUCGCAUACUGGAGAACACAAGAUCAAAACCAAAAGUGAUGGAUCCCAAUCCUAGAUCCAUCACGUAACAAGCAAUUUUGCACAACUGCAAUAAAAAUCCUUAUCACCAUGUAAUACAAAUCCAUGGACAAGUAGGAAAAAGCAAUCCCAAUCCUUAUCUCCUUGUAAAACAACUCAUGGAUUUGGCAAGCGGGGAAGGGGAGGAUUACCUUUUGGAGGAUGCACAACACAACUCGUUCGUUGUGGGAUCUGGUCCACGGAGGGUUGGUGAGGGUGGACUGCCAGAUCUGCAUCACACUUGUUGACGGCGAGCGAUCCGGGGACUCCGUGCCGCACGCAGUGGUGGGGAGUAGGAUGAUCUAGUUGGAGACCUCCAGAUCAGGAGGGUGGUCGCCGGAGGGUAUGGAAGGGCCGGUUGGAUCUUGAGAUAAUGGUGAGAGAGUGAGAGAAAGAUGCGGCGUCCGGUUCAGUGUGGAGAGAAAUGGGUAUGGAGGUGUAGGCAUG